rnacentral:sRNA from 1 species
GUGUGGAAGAAUUUUUUAACUACUCGCACCGAAAACAAAUCUCAGAUAAGCGGGUAAAUAAGUUUCCCUGGUGUUGGCGCAGUAUUCGCGCACCCCAACUUCGGU